GGGAUUGCCCUAGUAACGGCGAGUGAAGCGGCAACAGCUCAAAUUUGAAAUCUGGCUCUUUUAGAGUCCGAGUUGUAAUUUGCAGAGGGCGCUUUGGCGUUGGCAGCGGUCCAAGUUCUUUGGAACAGGACGUCACAGAGGGUGAGAAUCCCGUACGUGGUCGCUAGCCUUCGCCGUGUAAAGCCCCUUCGACGAGUCGAGUUGUUUGGGAAUGCAGCUCUAAAUGGGAGGUAAAUUUCUUCUAAAGCUAAAUACUGGCCAGAGACCGAUAGCGCACAAGUAGAGUGAUCGAAAGAUGAAAAGCACUUUGGAAAGAGAGUCAAAUAGCACGUGAAAUUGUUGAAAGGGAAGCGCUUGCAGCCAGACUUGCCUGUAGUUGCUUAUCCGGACUUUUGUCCGGUGCACUCUUCUGCGGGCAGGCCAGCAUCAGUUUAGGCGGUUGGAUAAAGGUCUCUAUCACGUACCUCCCUUCGGGGUUGGCCUUAUAGGGGAGACGACAUGCAACCAGCCUGAACUGAGGUCCGCGCAUCUGCUAGGAUGCUGGCGUAAUGGCUGUAAGCGGCCCGUCUUGAAACACGGACCAAGGAGUCUAACAUCUAUGCGAGUGUUUGGGUGUCAAGCCCAGACGCGUAAUGAAAGUGAACGGAGGUGGGAACCUUUUAGGUGCACCAUCGACCGAUCCUGAUGUCUUCGGAUGGAUUUGAGUAAGAGCAUGGCUGUUGGGACCCGAAAGAUGGUGAACUAUGCUUGAAUAGGGUGAAGCCAGAGGAAACUCUGGUGGAGGCUCGCAGCGGUUCUGACGUGCAAAUCGAUCGUCAAAUUUGGGCAUAGGGGCG
rnacentral:rRNA from 3 species